rnacentral:lncRNA from 1 species
GGAACUUGUUACUUCCUCUCACACACCAUUGAUAGGAACUCAGCCAUGAGACUACCGAGCUGCACAGAAGGCUGAGAAAUAUCAAGCCCAAUUAGGAGAAAAUCAAGACCUCACCUGUUUCCACUUCCCAGUGGAAAAACAACUAGGCAAUAAAAAUGGAAUGCCAUCCUAAAAGUGUCCUAGAAGUUGGGGGAGUAUGACUCACCUGUGAGCACAAAUCUUAAGACAAGCCAGUGGGACUUAAUCCUGGAGUUGCUUCACUUGGAGAAUAAAACUGUCCACAGAAGGGAGAGCUUGAUAGCUAAUGAAGCCAACACAGAGGACAGCAGAGCCAAGAAUGGGGAGAGAGACUUGGCACUAUUUGAGCACCUGGAUUCAGCCAUACCUGAAGCCAACAUGUGACAAUCUCUUUUAAGAACCAAAGGAACCAAAGGAGGGAUUUAUGCUUUGUAGUGCCUCAAACCAUACUCUGAAAAUCCUUAACCUAAACAUCCCAAUAAAAGUUAUAAAUGUUAUAACUGAAGUUCCACGUCCCAGGUUCUUUACCAAUAUUUGCCAUUUUUAUUGUUGUUAACAGCCAUCCUAGCCCAGGCAUGGUGGCGCAUACUUGGGAGGCCAAGGCAAGAGUAUUGCCAUGAGUUUGAGGCCUGCCUGGGAUACACAGUGAGCUCAAGGCCAGCCUGAACUACAUAGUGAGACCCUGUCUCAAAAAACAAACAAAACCAAAC